AUUGAACGCUGGCGGCAUGCCUUACACAUGCAAGUCGAACGGUAACAGGUCUUCGGAUGCUGACGAGUGGCGAACGGGUGAGUAAUACAUCGGAACGUGCCUAGUAGUGGGGGAUAACUACUCGAAAGAGUGGCUAAUACCGCAUGAGAUCUACGGAUGAAAGCAGGGGAUCGCAAGACCUUGUGCUACUAGAGCGGCCGAUGGCAGAUUAGGUAGUUGGUGGGAUAAAAGCUUACCAAGCCGACGAUCUGUAGCUGGUCUGAGAGGACGAUCAUCCACACUGGGACUGAGACACGGGCCAGACUCCUACGGGAGGCAGCAGUGGGGAAUUUUGGACAAUGGGCGCAAGCCUGAUCCAGCAAUGCCGCGUGCAGGAUGAAGGCCUUCGGGUUGUAAACUGCUUUUGUACGGAACGAAAAGCCCCGGGUUAAUACCCUGGGGUCAUGACGGUACCGUAAGAAUAAGCACCGGCUAACUACGUGCCAGCCGCCGCCGUAA
rnacentral:rRNA from 1 species